AUAUUGCGCAAUGGAGGGAACUCUGACGCAGCGACGCCGCGUGAGCGAUGAAGGUUUUCGGAUCGUAAAACUCUGUCAUUGGGGAAGAAUAAAUGACGGUACCUGACUAAGAAGCCCCGGCUAACUACGUGCCAGCAGCCGCGGUAAUACGUAGGGGGCAAGCGUUGUCCGGAAUUAUUGGGCGUAAAGGGUGCGUAGGCGGCCUUUUAAGUCAGAUGUGAAAGGCUACGGCUUAACCGUAGUUAGCAUUUGAAACUAAAAGGCUUGAGUGCAGGAGAGGAGAGUGGAAUUCCUAGUGUAGCGGUGAAAUGCGUAGAUAUUAGGAGGAACACCAGUGGCGAAGGCGACUCUCUGGACUGCAACUGACGCUGAGGCACGAAAGCGUGGGGAGCGAACA
rnacentral:rRNA from 1 species